rnacentral:rRNA from 1 species
GACGAACGCUGGCGGCGUGCUUAACACAUGCAAGUCGAACGGAAAGGCCCUGCUUUUGUGGGGUGCUCGAGUGGCGAACGGGUGAGUAACACGUGAGUAACCUGCCCUUGACUUUGGGAUAACUUCAGGAAACUGGGGCUAAUACCGGAUAGGAGCUCCUGCUGCAUGGUGGGGGUUGGAAAGUUUCGGCGGUUGGGGAUGGACUCGCGGCUUAUCAGCUUGUUGGUGGGGUAGUGGCUUACCAAGGCUUUGACGGGUAGCCGGCCUGAGAGGGUGACCGGCCACAUUGGGAAUGAGAUACGGCCCAGACUACAACGGGAGGCAGCAGGGGGGAAUAGUGAACAAUGGGAGGAAGCCUGAUGCAGCAAAGCCGCGUGCGGGAUGACGGCCUUCGGGUUGUAAACCGCUUUCGCCUGUGACGAAGCGUGAGUGACGGUAAUGGGUAAAGAAGCACCGGCUAACUACGUG